rnacentral:misc_RNA from 1 species
GCCAAUUUACUGAUCUCUUCCUUCAGUCCCCAGUCAAAGAAGUGAUCAUAAAAUAUGGAAGGAACUCCAGGAUGAGUGAGUAUGUAAGCGUAUCCCAGCAUGACUUUAUCAGAUGGGAAUGGCCAAAGGUGUUGAGUAGAUCCAGUGUCGUGAUUAUCGAUGAAGGUCACUGCAUUUUGUGGGGAUAGUCCAAUCAAUCCUGGAGGCUUUCCAUUUGAGUCUUUCAACCUCCACAAUUCUCCUUGCACAGCAGCUUGAAGAAUCCCUUUUGUUGUGAAAUCAAAUGCUGUCACAACCCCUCCAGCAGCUUCAAUCCAAUCUUUAAGUGCACCUCGGUGUCCGUCCUGG